rnacentral:tRNA from 2 species
AAUGAAAUGUCUGAUUAAAGAAUUAUUCUGAUAGAAUAAAAUAUGUAUAUAAAUACUUUCAUUU